rnacentral:rRNA from 2 species
UGAGGAAUAUUGGUCAAUGGACGCAAGUCUGAACCAGCCAUGCCGCGUGCAGGAAGACGGCUCUAUGAGUUGUAAACUGCUUUUGUACGAGGGUAAACCCGGUUACGUGUAACCGGUUGAAAGUACCGUACGAAUAAGGAUCGGCUAACUCCGUGCCAGCAGCCGCGGUAAUACGGAGGAUCCAAGCGUUAUCCGGAUUUAUUGGGUUUAAAGGGUGCGUAGGCGGUUUGUUAAGUUAGAGGUGAAAUCCCGUGGCUCAACCACGGAACUGCCUCUGAUACUGGCAGGCUAGAGAAUGGUUGCUGUGGGCGGAAUGUGUGGUGUAGCGGUGAAAUGCUUAGAGAUCACACAGAACACCGAUUGCGAAGGCAGCUCACAAAGCCAUAUCUGACGCUGAGGCACGAAAGCGUGGGGAGCAAACAGG